CCAAUCCGUUCCCAAGAGGCCCGCGCCCCUUAUUCCUUCGGCAUCGCCCUCUUCCUCCCUCCUCCAUUACGUUCGCCUUCUCUCCACCACACUUUCCCGCCCACCAGCAGCGAGGAGGAGGAGGUAGAGCCCACCACCAGCUCCUGCUCCAUCUCGUCGCCUUGGCCAAGUCGAGUGGCGGAGGAGGCCAGUGGCACAGAUUAGCGGAUGGGGAUGCGAAGAGGCGAGGAGUGGCUCAGGCAGCGAAGAAGAGGAGGAGACGGCGAGGAGUGAAGAGCCGGGAAGAGGAGGGCUUCGAAAGGGACCCUCGCCCCCCCAGCAGCCUGCAAUGGUUCCGGCGCCGCAGGCGGCAGGCCUGGUUGUAGCGGAGCAUGGCGGCAGUCCGGGCGGCGUGGUCGUGGUCAAGUGGAGAAGAACGGGUGGCAGCCGCAGCUGAAUCCUCUGCCGCAUCUGGCCUCUCCAGAUUUGUUUUUGUAUCUACCUAUAAGGUGUUCGAUGAAAAUCCAAGCUGCUGCAGUGGCAGAUUACGCCGUCCCCUUUCAUGCCAAGCCACGUUGAUUGCUUCUCUUUUGGUCCCUUGUCAUUUGCUUGCUCUAUGAUUCGUUGUUGUAAAAAAAUUGCACUUUUUUUGUAGGUUGGGCUCUCCUGUUCUUUUUUGUUGGCUCGACCUACGCACUGGCAGCCUCCUACGUGAGGGAUUCAACAUGCCUCUAUUUGAGAGAAAACAUAUGGAGAAGCGAAUUUUCAGAGUAUCUCAGGCACACAAGCUAAAGGUUCACCAAGUUCAGGGAAAGAAAAGUCCUCUUUGACAAAAGAAGUGGUAUGGAUAAGUUUCCCUAGACAGGUGGCGGUGGCAGUCAAGAGAAGAGUGGCGCUGUGAGUAACGGCCCUCGAUCGUCUUCCUUGUGGAAUCAAGUACGCGUCGUACAUCGUGGCCCGUCGUGGGUGUUGGCGGGCGACCGGAGGCGGCUGCAGCAGGCCAGUGUCCGUGAUCAAGACUGACACCGGGAAGGUUGCCGGUGUGUAGUAUGAUCCUCAUCUCCUCGAAUGUCUACAGUUGUGCACUCGAUUCAAAUGAUUAUUCUCCUUUGCCUCAGAACUACAUGAGUGGUACAAAGGGUCGACCAAGAUACAGAAUUAAGCUAUUCGAUUUAAGGAGUUAGGGUACCGGCGCCCAAAUAAGUUUAGGAGCACUGCAAAAUUCAAGUUGAUGGCUGAUUUGCCUUGUUGUUUUACAGUAUGAUAGUUGUAAGUAUGUUCUAGAAUGCAAGUGAUGGGCUGCUGAUUUCUGUUGUCCACUUCUCUUGAUUUGUACUGACUUGUGUUGAUUUCUAUUGUAUGCAAUAGCAGCCUUCGUGCCAUCAAUAGAUUCUGCUGGUUUCUACCUCUAUGCUGCUUAAACCAAUUAGCUCCUCAAUUAUACACCAUGGUAGGCAACUUUGGUCCUCACUCUUCAUGUACAACUCAAGUGACUAAACUCUUUUUCUGUUUUUCCCCCUCCCCAACUUAAUGCAAGAGACCGUUCAGAAAAAACUUAAUGCAGGAGAGUUCUCUUUUAUUUACAGUGAGUCAGAGAUUAAGUGAUUCUUUCUGCCGCGGUCACUACAACAGAUCAUCUAAAAGAAGCUAACAUUUUUUGAUUCAACUUAUUCCACUCAUGGUGCCACGAACAUGUUAGUGAAUAUUUGAGGUGACACUACGUGGUUGUUUCAUGCAUUGUCUACCAAUUCUACAAACUUUAACCGUUGUUUCUCUGUACUAAUUUGGACCAUGUUCUUCAGUUUAUGGUUUCUGAAAUGUAUGUACUCGGACAUAGUAAGUGCAAUCAUGUAUAUCUACUCUUGCGUGUUUUUGUUAGAUGUAUUUUUCUAGGCGAGUCUUGUACAGUGAAGUAUUUUCAUUGGACAUAUAACACAAUACUUCAUUUUAUACAUUGCAUUCGUGGUUCAAUUCUUACUUGUGAUAACUAGAUGCUACUGUUUCACAAAAUGUUGUGGUCCAUAGCAUCGCUGGUGAUUUGGACUACAGAAUAAUCCUUAUGGUCAGACUUGCCUUUUACAACUUCUAUGUUUUUAGAUGGGCAGAGUUCGCCAUCUGUGCCGGGUUGUGAAGACGACUGGUGUCAACAUCAAGGGAGUUGACAGCAUGGGGAAAACAACAAUACAGAAACAUGGAUGGGGAUUGCAAUAAACAGCAUGCAGUUCUUCCAAAGGACUACGUGGAUUUGCAGACAAGCAAGGGUCGUGAUGUGAUCCACCCUGUCCAGAGGGUAAUUUCUGCAUGUGAUUUGGGUAAGGAUCUGGGUGCUCUUUGUUUGCUCACUAUGUUUGUUCCUAGGUGAGCCUCUCUUUUUCCCAUGCUCUUGACCAGCUUGAUAAAAUGCUUGUGUGGCUGGAAGCUAUUUUCUGCCUUGGGUUAUAUUCCUUUUGGUUUUUUGACAAACAUGUGAAUUUCUCCCGAGUGAAAAAAUGAAGGUGAAGAGGAGAGGAGGAAUUACUUC